AGCAGAGUAGCUUAGUGGAAAGAGCAUGGCCCUGUGAGAAAGAGGACCUGGGUUCUAAUCCUGGUUCUGCCA
rnacentral:tRNA from 1 species